UCAAUCUAUAUUGAUUUGCACAAAAAUAUUUUCAAUGUAAAUGAAAUGCUUUACUAAAUAAGCUUUAAAUUGUCUUUCUAGAUACACCUUCCGGUACAUCUACUAUGUUACGACUUAUCUUGCCUUAAUAGCAAGAGCGACGGGCGAUGUGUGCAUACUCUAGAGCCAGAAUCAAAUCUACAAUCUCCAAAAUUUUACUAUCAAAUCCACCUUCACUAAUAUAUUUCAAAAUUAGAUUCGUAUAAAUAAAAACAUUGUAAUCCAUCUCUACUUGACCAUGAGCUACACCUUGAUCUGAUAUAAGUUCCAAUACAAAAUAUAGAAAAUUAUUAUUCUAAUAAAAUAUUCUGAUAACGACGGUAUAUAAACUGAAAGACAAGAUCAAGUAAGGUUCAUCGUGGA
rnacentral:tRNA from 1 species